GAUGAAGAACGUAGCGAAAUGCGAUAAGUAGUGUGAAUUGCAGAAUUCAGUGAAUCAUCGAAUCUUUGAACGCACAUUGCGCCCCUUGGUAUUCCAUGGGGCAUGCCUGUUCGAGCGUCAUUUGUACCUUCAAGCUUUGCUUGGUGUUGGGUGUUUGUCUCGCCUUUGCGUGUAGACUCGCCUUAAAAUAAUUGGCAGCCGACGUAUUGAUUUCGGAGCGCAGUACAUCUCGCGCUUUGCACUCAUAACGACAGCGUCCACAAGUACAUUUUACACUCUUGACCUCGGAUCAGGUAGGGAUACCCGCUGAACUUAAGCAUAUCAAUAAGCGGAGGA
rnacentral:misc_RNA from 1 species